AAACUCUGGUGUCUCCUCAUUUGCGGAUAAAUAUUCCGCCUUUUACUAAAGAUUUCCGUGGGGAGGCACAAUUUUGUGCAUCG
rfam:Trichobilharzia regenti genome assembly, scaffold: TRE_scaffold0042029